GAUGAACGCUGGCGGCGUGCCUAAUACAUGCCAGUCGAGCGAACAGAUGAGGAGCUUGCUCCUCUGACGUUAGCGGCGGACGGGUGAGUAACACGUGGAUAGCCUACCUAUAAGACUGGGAUAACUUCGGGAAACCGGAGCUAAUACCGGAUAAUAUAUUGAACCGCAUGGUUCAAUAGUGAAAGACGGUUUUGCUGUCACUUAUAGAUGGAUCCGCGCCGCAUUAGCUAGUUGGUAAGGUAACGGCUUACCAAGGCAACGAUGCGUAGCCGACCUGAGAGGGUGAUCGGCCACACUGGAACUGAGACACGGUCCAGACUCCUACGGGAGGCAGCAGUAGGGAAUCUUCCGCAAUGGGCGAAAGCCUGACGGAGCAACGCCGCGUGAGUGAUGAAGGUCUUCGGAUCGUAAAACUCUGUUAUUAGGGAAGAACAAAUGUGUAAGUAACUAUGCACGUCUUGACGGUACCUAAUCAGAAAGCCACGGCUAACUACGUG
rnacentral:rRNA from 1 species